rnacentral:rRNA from 1 species
UAAGACAGAGGAGGCAAGCGUUAUCCGGAAUUAUUGGGCGUAAAGCGUCCGUAGGUGGUCUAACAAGUCUGGGGUCAAAGCCCGGAGCCCAACUCCGGAUCGGCCUUGGAAACUGUCAGACUCGAGUAAGGUAGGGGUUGCGGGAAUUCCCGGUGUAGCGGUGAAAUGUGUAGAGAUCGGAAAGAACACCAGUGGCGAAGGCAGGUCUCUGGUCGGUAACUGACGCUGAUGCACGAAAGCGUGGGGAGCAAACAGGAUUAGAUACCCUGGUAGUCCACGCCCUAAACGAUGGAUGCUAGAUGUUGGCCUUCGGGUCAGUGUCGCAGCUAACGCAGUAAGCAUCCCACCUGGGAAGUACGACCGCAAGGUUG